UAGAUUAACUGAAGACUCUAAAUUACCCGUCAGUGUGAAUGUGAGUCCAAAUGGUUGUUUGUUUAUAAGUGCCCUGGGAUUGGCUGGCAACCAGUUCAGGGUGUACCCUGCCUCUCGCCUGCAGUUAACUGGGAUAGGCUCCAGCAUACCCGCGACCUUAGUGAGGAUAAGCAGUUCGGAAAAUGAAUGAACUACUCCAGUACUGAGUAACUAACUGGUUGGACAUCAUCCUAGAAGAUCCCUUACUUUCCUGCUCAGUGGAGCUCACACACACCAGCUGUACAAUUGCCGAGGCAGGUUAAUCCCGUCAUCACCAGGAAUGCUGGGUCACCUUAGGAACUGUUGAUCUUACUGGCUGAAACAAGAAUGAGGAACAGGCGAAAAGAAUGAGAGGAAAAAUGAUGGGUAAAGAGGAAAGAAAUAUCAAAGUCCUUUUGUCUAAAAAAGGGACUAAAAAGUCCUUAAAACUAAAACUGUGUACGUGCAUGUGCAUGUAUCCUUACUGGGUUAUUGAUUCAUAGUUCCCCUUAAGGAGUAGGAUAUUAAUGUUGACCUCUACAGAGAAGGAAUCAGGGUGGAACAACAAAAAAGCAAGGUAUUAACAUUAAUCAGGAUAAUGCUGUUUGGUGGAGUCCAUGGGGAAAGUCUGCAUGUACCUCAACUUCCCAAUGGGGAAGUGAUUGUUGUUCUUGUUCAUUGAAUUAGCUGGCUAACGCAAGAAACGAUGUUGGCAGUUUUCCCACUUCACAUUGGUGGCUCAGCUCUCAACGCCUUGUUUGAGGCGGUCAGUUUUCUACUCCAUAAAAGUACAGUGGGAAACUGCCAAAACCACGCUGCAUUGACUGCAUCAGUCCGAACGAGACAUGCUAACAAAUAAAAAUGGUAACGAAUGACAGUCUUCUGUUUUCACUUCCUGUUAAGAAAAAGGCCUUUUAUUUUGGGCAGCCGAAGGCAUACCUGUACUAAUUAGCAUCUUGAUAUGCCACACGUGAUAUGGAUUGAUUAUUUUGCCAAAGGAGAAGUGCUCACUAACAUAGAUUUAAACAGAUUUUUUGAACAAUAUUUGAGAGAAAUAGGCCUUUUGUGUACAUAGAAAAAGUCAGAUCUUUGAGUUAAUCUCAUGAUAAAUGGGAGCAGAAAGCAAAUGUACGGAACUUAGUUUUGUUCAGUGUACAGUACAUGGUGAUGACGAAUAUGCUUGCCCAAUUAGCAACCGCCAGUGGUUUAUAUCAUCCAUAUCGUAUUAGUUCGUCAUACUUGGACCUGGUACUCCUUGGUUUUGCCACUGGAAAAGCAUCAAUAGCAAAUAGAGCCUAACUGCACUCAUCUUCCUCAUUCUCUCGUGUUCACCUCCAGCUCUAGUCUUCAUCAGGUCA